UACGUAGGGGGCAAGCGUUGUUCGGAAUUACUGGGCGUAAAGGGCGCGUAGGCGGCACGGCAAGUCAGAAGUGAAAGGCCUGGGCUCAACCGAGGAACUGCUUUUGAGACUGCCGAGCUAGAGUGCGGAAGGGGCAACCGGAAUUCCCAGUGUAGCGGUGAAAUGCGUAGAUAUUGGGAAGAACACCUGAGGCGAAGGCGGGUUGCUGGGCCGACACUGACGCUGAGGCGCGAAAGCCAGGGGAGCAAAGCGGG
rnacentral:rRNA from 1 species